UACGUAGGGUGCGAGCGUUUAAUCGGAAUUACUGGGCGUAAAGUGUGCGCAGGCGGCUUCGCAAGUCGAGUGUGAAAUCCCCCGAGCUUAACUUGGGAAUUGCGCUCGAAACUACGGAGCUGGAGUGUGGCAGAGGAAGGUGGAAUUCCACGUGUAGCGGUGAAAUGCGUAGAGAUGUGGAGGAACACCGAUGGCGAAGGCAGCCUUCUGGGCCAACACUGACGCUCAUGCACGAAAGCGUGGGGAGCAAACAGG
rnacentral:rRNA from 1 species